GACGAACGCUGGCGGCGUGCUUAACACAUGCAAGCCGAACGGAAAGGCCCUGCUUUUGUGGGGUGCUCGAGUGGCGAACGGGUGAGUAACACGUGAGUAACCUGCCCUUGACUUUGGGAUAACUUCAGGAAACUGGGGCUAAUACCGGAUAGGAGCUCCUGCUGCAUGGUGGGGGUUGGAAAGUUUCGGCGGUUGGGGAUGGACUCGCGGCUUAUCAGCUUGUUGGUGGGGUAGUGGCUUACCAAGGCUUUGACGGGUAGCCGGCCUGAGAGGGUGACCGGCGACAUGGGGACUGAGAGACGGCGCAGACGCCUACGGGAGGCAGCAGUCGGGAAUAUUGCACAAUGGGCGGAAGCGUGAGGCGGCAACGCCGCGUGCGGGAUGACGGCCUUCGGGUUGUAAACCGCUUUCGCCUGUGACGAAGCGGGAGUGACGGUAAUGGGUAAAGAAGCACCGGCUAACUACGUG
rnacentral:rRNA from 1 species